rnacentral:lncRNA from 1 species
AAAGGAAAAGGAGCCACCUGAUUGCCAGUUGAUACUUCCCCUGAUUUAAAAUUACUCUUUUUUUUCUUUCCAUCAAAAUAGACUUAUCUCCAGAUAAGUCAUCAUAACUACAAAAAGCUAAAUGACUUUACUUAAGGAAAAGAAGUAGAUGCUUCCGGAGAGACAGCAUAUUUUUCGUAUCUUAAAAUGGAUUCAUCUUCCAGCCAGACUUCAAACGGGAAUUUUUAUGGAAUCAAAUAAUAAUGAGAAGUCUUGUAAUUUCUAUCAUCAUCAACUGUCAUCAUCAUAGUCAACCACCAUCAUUGUCGUCAUCCUCAUUGUCGUCGUUGUCGUCGUCGUCGUCGUCGUCGUCAUCAUCAUCAUCAUCAUCAUCAUCAUUGUGUUUAUGUAUACAUGAAUGUUUAUGCCAGAGUUGGCCAGAGCAGUGACUUGGAUGCCUUGGAGUAAAGUUACAGGAGGUUGUGAGCAUCCAAUUUGGAUUCUGGGAAUGAAACCCCAGUUUAUUGAAAGAGGAG